rnacentral:lncRNA from 1 species
UAUUAUAAAAAAAAGGGUAAAUUACAUCUUUUUUUUACAUCUAAGAGGCAAAAAUUGGAUUUAAAUCUUCCUAUUGGAGCAGAAUUUUAAUAUAGAUCCACUCAAGUGUAAAUGACUCAAGUGUAAAUGAGGAUGCAAAAGUAAUUUUGGAGAUACCAAUUUACUCUCACUUUCCCACAACUAUUGGAGAUGCUUUAAGUGCUUAAACAUGAUNN